ACCAUAGAGGGCACAUGUUCCCUAAUUGGCCUAGAGCAUAGCGGCUCAUUAUCAUUCCACCGCUGGUGGCGGGCGGUACUCGCUGCUCUGUGAAGCCACCUCACGCAAUGUCCGCCACUUUAGGUGUUAGGAUGCAAAGGCGUUUGCCAAGGCACACGAAACCCACUACACAACUUGGAAUGGGUGGUCCACAGUUUGUAGCACUAGACCCAAGCACAUGCACCACAAUUGACAUCCACACUUCCUUAUUGCCCCCGCUCGGGUUACAAGCAAUCGCUACUUGCUCAGCGAGUGAGGGGGUCCAGGACUGCCUAUUUAAGGUGGUGUUGUACUCUAUGAGGCGGCGAUGUGGUAUUAACCAACAACAAAUAGUGUCAUGCAUGUGAGUUGCUAGUUGGCAAAGUCUGUUGUUGACCUAGCUAUGGGCUGUGGCUGAAGCACAUGACGAUAGAGUAGGCCUAUUAUGUUUUGUUGAUUUUGGGCCUUUGUGGACUUUAUGCUGAUGUCCAGAAAUUUUUUAUGUGUUUCCUCUUCCCAAUGAAGUGGAAAGUGGGUGCGUCAGAGAAGAAAGAAAGAGUGGCUAGCAUUGAUUUUACGUCAUCCCCUUGAGAACAUUAAUCAAAAGCAGAAGCAACAAUAUUUGAUACAUAUACAACACAUGUAAUCCAUAUAAACAACUUUCCUUCAAAAAUAAUAUAAACCACAUGAUUAUAUCUUAGGUCGGUCAUAUCCACAAAGGGCAAGGACACGCACCUAAGUUUGUAGUUUAGAACUAAGAGUGUCUACUCUCACGAUUUCUUGCCGACAUAUGCAAACUGGACACUAAUCACGUAAAGUAAAGACAUAUGUGGUAACACGAACCUAUAGCAUGUAUUUCAACCUAUAGAUUGUUGAUUAUUAUGGUAGAUUAUAUAAUAUAGGGAUUCUCGAAGAAAUACGUAAAAACGAGAGAAUUGAAUUUUCCUUUUCAGAUUUGGCUAACUGGUAAAAGGAGUUGGAGUAUCUGAGUUUCCAAAUUUGGGACGUAGAUGUAUAGAAGGAAUAUAUAUACGUUGGAAUUUUUUCUACAAGGCAAGGUUUAACACAAGUUGGGACAAGAAAAAACCAAUGAGGCUUUGAUCGCAUGGUCACAAAACUAGAGACAAGAAACAUGAAGAAACCAAGGUAAUUAGUAUGAGAGUUUUCCAAAUUUGGUGUCUUGAUGUAGAAAAAAUAAAUAUAUGGCAAACAUGUUUUUCUAGAAGGCAUGGUAUAAUAAGUGGGAGUGAGUAAUAAAUUUCAUCAUAGAUUUAGAACGAAGAAAUAUAUCACUAAAUAUGUUCUUUCAUAAUGCCAAGUUAAGCAGGUGGGGCCGAGAAAACAAUUCUAGUGAGGCUUGGUUGUACUAACCCCAAACUAGAUACAACAGAGGAAAAAUGAAAAAAUGUUGGUCUACCAAAUAUGGCGCAUGAGCCUUAAGGUGGACCUAGAGGGAAGUAGAAGAAAUAAAUAUAUAAUUGAAUAUGUUUUUCGCAAUGCAAGGUAAAGUGUAGAUGCGCUCUAACUAGGCUUAAAUUGCAGCGACACGUUAUCCAUCCACAAGGCUUGGUUGCACAUAGAAAAAAGGUAAAGAGAAAAAUGUAGACGUAGGAUGGGUUGAAAAACAUUCAAUGAGGCAUGAUUACACGGACAUAGAACUAGAUAGAAGAAAAGACUUAAAGAAAAAUAAAGGAAGUAAAUUUUCUUUUGCACACUAAGCAUGAAUGGAGUUGUAGUAUCUGAGAUCCCAAAUUUAAUUUGUUCCAAGAUGUAGAACAAAAUUGCGAGACUCGUAAUGAUUACAUAGGGACAAAAGUAGUUAAGAAAAAUAGCAAAAAGAUAGUGGUCUACCAUAGAGGGCACAUGUUCCCUAAUUGGCCUAGAGCAUACUGGCUCAUUAUCCUUCCACCGCUGGUGGCGGGCGGUACUCGCUGCUCUGUAAAGCCAGCCUCACGCAAUGUCUGCCACUUUAGGUGUUAGGAUGCAAAGGCAUUCGCCAAGGCACCCGAAACCCACUACACAACUUGGAAUGGGUGGUCCAUAGUUUGUAGCACUAGACCCAAGCACAUGCACCACAAUUGACAUCCACACUUCCUUAUUGCCCCCGCUCGGGUUACAAGCAAUCGCUACU
rnacentral:lncRNA from 1 species